rnacentral:rRNA from 1 species
GACGAACGCUGGCGGCGUGCUUAACACAUGCAAGUCGAGCGGAGCGGCGAACGGGUGAGUAACGCGUGAGUAACUGCCCCCCUCUCUGGGAUAACAGUUGGCAACGGCUGCUAAUACCGGAUAGGGGGUGAUGACUCGGGUCCUAUCAGCUUGUCGGUGGGGUAGUGGCAUACCAAGGCGACGACGGGUAGCCGGCCUGGGAGGGCGACCGGCCACAUGGGGCUGAGGUACGGCCCAAACUCCUACGGGAGGCAGCAGUGGGGAAUAUUGCACAAUGGGGGAAACCCUGUUGCAGCAACGCCGCGGGCGGGAUGACGGCCUUCGGGUUGUAAACCGCUUUCAGCCAUUACGCGGUAGUGGCAGAAGAAGCACCGGCUAACUACGUGCCAGCAGCCGCGGUAAUUC